rnacentral:rRNA from 1 species
AACGAACGCUGGCGGCAGGCUUAACACAUGCAAGUCGAACGCCCCGCAAGGGGAGUGGCAGACGGGUGAGUAACACGUGGGAACGUGCCCUUCGCUUCGGAAUAGCCCCGGGAAACUGGGAGUAAUACCGAAUACGCCGUAUUGGGAAAGAUUUAUCGGCGAAGGAUCGGCCCGCGUUGGAUUAGCUAGUUGGCGGUGUAAUGGACCACCAAGGCGACGAUCCAUAGCUGGUCUGAGAGGACAACCAGCCACACUGGGACUGAGACACGGCCCAGACUCCUACGGGAGGCAGCAGUGGGGAAUCUUGGACAAUGGGCGAAAGCCUGAUCCAGCCAUGCCGCGUGAGUGAAGAAGGCCUUAGGGUUGUAAAACUCUUUCGCCGGUGAAGAUAAUGACGGUAGCCGGAGAAGAAGCCCCGGCUAACUUCGUGCCAGCCGCCGCGGUAAGAC